CUUUAAUCUGUUAUCCCAUUUCAGUAUUUUCACUUCUUUUAUAUUUUCAAUAAGAUAAAGGUGAAAUCUUUCUGAUAUUUUCGCUCCAAUUUGAGAGGAAAAUCUAAACUUUAUGUUAAAUUGGCUAUUUUUCUUGAUAGAUCUGCUAAAGAUAGGAUUUUUAUACUCACAAUUUGUUCUUUUCUAUUUUCUUUUUAAUUUUUUUUCUUAGUAUUGUGGAUUCUUGAGAAAAUGAAGCUCUGUUUUAAAGUGGGAAUGGCAAAAAGUUGGUUUAUUCUGUUGUUUUUGGAAGCUUAAGGAAACGUAUGUAUUCAAUUUGAAGCUAGUUUCAGUUUUUACUUUAACUGAAUAAGUAAGGAAAGCAAUUAAACUCUUGCUAUUAUUAUGAAUAAAAUUCAGAAAUAAUUAAAAGGCUGUGUAUACAUGGUCCAUUUUAUCUGGUUCAUGUUCUGCUCAUUCUUUUAUUUUUUAUGAAUCAACUUUGUCCCUGAAAAAUGAAUACGUUUUGUGUCAUUAAAUUUAGCGUGUCUUGUUCGACUGUUGGCAUUGUCUGUAUCUAUGAGUUUUCUUGUUAAGUUCAGUGUACUCAUCUUUUUUGGUUCAUCAAUAAGAGAAGUUCUCUAUUUUGUUUCAGAUCAUCGCUUCUUCUUUUCUUUUUUCCCCUUUUUAGUUUUCAAAAACAGUAGCUUAUGUUCUUGAUUAAAAUCGUUCCGUGAUAAAUUUCCUUUUCUCCUUUUCUUUUUAAAAUAUCAAAUCUUUGCCCUUUUUGCUAGUGAGAAUAUAGUGAUUCUUUCAAAGGACUGCUGGUGUAACUAGUUUUUUGCUUUAAGGUUAGUAGAUCAAUGAUAAGAAUUUGUCGAGUGGACAAGCUAAAAUUUCAUGGAUGUUUUAACAUUAGACAAUUCUGAGGAUAUAAGUCAGUGCCUACAUUGGUCAUCCUUUUCUGGCAAUGAGUGUGAAUUUAGUUUAAAUAUAUGUUUAUUUAAAAAAAAUUAAUACUAGUAUAUAGAGUUGAAGAGCAUCUGCGCCAGCACGACAUAAAGUAGAUGAAGUAAGAGAACCUAAAGAGGUUGUAUGUGAGUUGUUUAGGAAUUGGUGACCAGCGUAGUUGAUAACGGAUACAUGGUUUCUUGUUGAUUUCUGAUUGCUUGUGCUAGCAUUUGUCAUCUUUUUGUGAGAUUGCAUUGAAACUGUUUCCUUUUCUGAUCUGUUACUUCAUAUACAUGAAUUUUCCAUGCUCUGAGAUAGUAGGCUGCAAAUUUAAGGUUGGUUUUGAACUGGAUAUAUAGUGUACACGUAACUGCUAAUAGUAAUUUCACACAAUGCUACAUAGUAGAAGUAUUGGCAUAACACUUUGAGUUGUCAACUGGCGGUAAUACCUUGACUGUUAUGCGCUUAUUAGUCCCUUAAUCGGACUUCAUUUGAUAAACACUGUACAUUUCUUGUGUAGGUUGUCAUGUUUUGCCACUAGAGAUCGUCCCUUCCUUUUCAACUUUUGAAAGCUGCUUGGCUUAAAGCACUCCACUGUGGAAGCCAUGAAAACCUUGUCACAUGAAUAAUCCUUGAUGCCGUGUACAUUAAUUUUCGUGGUGUUCCAAUAACCG
rnacentral:lncRNA from 1 species